rnacentral:lncRNA from 1 species
UUUACACUUCAAAUUUACAAUCACAUAAAUUUGCUUAAAAAUCGUCACCUGUGUGAACGAACAGAAUAAAUCAUUGAUAAAUAAAACAAGAUCCCCAUUUACAAAUUACAAAAGAUUGCUUAACUACGCCUCAGGCUCUCAGGAGGCUCAGUCCUGCAAGAAUGUUUCUGUUUAUUUCCGAGUAGUCUGGAAUUUUAAUGGCGGCUUACGAAUUCAAAUGGCCAAAAGUAAUUUCAGUACAAAGAAGUUGACCAUUAGACUCUUAAGAAGCGAUAUACAUUAGGAUUGGAGGAUUGACUUGUUGUCAAGCAUGUACGUAUGUACAUGGGAUUUUUGCAUGUGGCUUUCAAGGUUUUCUGGCACGUGUUGUGCUGAAACGAAAAUUCUAUUUAGUUCACCACACUGACUCCUAGUUCUCUUCCACGGCAUGAUUGUGACUACGGCCAUUGUGCAAUCAUUCUUGCGUUACAGGUGGUAAAGACCGUUCGAAAUCGCAGUCAAUUCUUUUGUAAUAAAUUUCUAUUCGAAUGAUGAAACAAGUGGAAUGAGGAAUAAUGGACGACUGAUGAAAUGAAAAUGCUUUAUCGCAGCACUCAGCUACUUCAGUUGUACGUUCAUAACUGCUCUGAUUAAUUGAAGAAUAUGGAGGACUUUGCAUUGUAUAACUCCAGAAUGUUUAAACUCCGGGUUUUCUGGGAAGCUAGUAAUCGCAGUUGUAUUUGCUAUCUUACGAUCGACAUUGGCUAGUCUACAUGAUCGAAGACUUGAACCGGUUGGCAAUGAUGUGAUCCUUGUCAUGCAGACGUCAUUUUUAUUCUUCUAAGAUCAAUGAUAAUGAUUCUCAACUCUACCCGUUGUCUAUGCAUCCAAAAACAGAGACGAAUGUGUUUUGUGGACUUGUUUGGAGGAAGCAAGAAAGAAGUUAUGUUGGAACGCUCUGCUUGGCUAUCAAAACACAUUUUUUUUUAAGGGCGUUAACUUCACCUCGAUUUCGAAUUUGGAGUGGCUCACUAUUCCAGUUCUUGAUCAAAUUCAGCGUUUCCAUUUCGGUUGUUUUCCGUGUAAGCGAAACAAUGGUUUGUUCGUAAUUUAUCCAUUUCAAUUGGUGUCGACGAAACCGCAGAAGACUCAUUAUUGUGUGCUUUUUUUACAUAAUAAUUAAGGGCAGUGAGAGACAUUAUCAUAGAUUGUUAUUCUUCUCCACAGAAGAAUGAAUGCAGAUUUCAAGUUUUAGAAUAAAUUGCGAUUUCUCCUGCAUCUCCGUGAAACAAACAGAAAUCUAAAAGAAAAACAAGUGCUUUUAUUGUCCAAUUGUUCCUGGAAAACAAGGAUUCAAAAGGGGAUAAUGAUGAAAACACAAUACCUUGACGACUGUAAAGUUCAAAUGAAGACGAGACGUUGAUGGGAACAAAAAAAUCAUAAUAAAGGGACAAAGACGAUUUAAUAAUAAAAAAUAGGAAAAAAAACAAAAAAAUAAGACUGACGGCAAAAAUCGGGUGGAAGCGUAAACAUCCACAUUCGCAUCAACAGCUUUCAAAUGCCCGGGAUGGAAAUGUACAUAACGUUCGGCUAAAAAACCAAACUAAGCAAAAUAAAUUGACGAGCAAAAUUGAAAAGAAAGCGAAAACAUAAUCAAAUAAUCUCCCAGCCAAUACUGAUUACUUUGUAUGCACUCUUUUCGUUUCUUAAAAUCCCAACCAGAUAAAAAUAAAAUGUGAUUGUGUGUUGCGGAUUACACAAUAUCAAA